rnacentral:rRNA from 1 species
GCAAGUCGACGGCAGCACGGGGGCAACCUUGGUGGCGAGUGGCGAACGGGUGAGUAACAUAUCGGAACGUGCCCUGGAGUGGGGGAUAACUAGUCGAAAGAUUAGCUAAUACCGCAUACGAUCUACGGAUGAAAGUGGGGGAUCGCAAGACCUCAUGCUCGUGGAGCGGCCGAUAUCUGAUUAGCUAGUUGGUGGGGUAAAGGCCUACCAAGGCAUCGAUCAGUAGCUGGUCUGAGAGGACGACCAGCCACACUGGGACUGAGACACGGCCCAGACUCCUACGGGAGGCAGCAGUGGGGAAUUUUGGACAAUGGGCGCAAGCCUGAUCCAGCAAUGCCGCGUGAGUGAAGAAGGCCUUCGGGUUGUAAAGCUCUUUUGUCAGGGAAGAAACGGUGAGUUCUAAUACAGCUCACUAAUGACGGUACCUGAAGAAUAAGCACCGGCUAACUACGUGCCAGCAGCCGCGGUAAUACGUAGGGUGCAAGCGUUAAUCGGAAUUACUGGGCGUAAAGCGUGCGCAGGCGGUUUUGUAAGUUUGUCGUGAAAUCCCCGGGCUCAACCUGGGAAUGGCGAUGAAGACUGCAAGGCUAGAAUCUGGCAGAGGGGGGUAGAAUUCCACGUGUAGCAGUGAAAUGCGUAGAGAUGUGGAGGAACACCGAUGGCGAAGGCAGCCCCCUGGGUCAAGAUUGACGCUCAUGCACGAAAGCGU